GACGAACGCUGGCGGCGUGCCUAAUACAUGCAAGUCGAACGCAGUGGGGACGGGUGAGUAACACGUGGGUAACCUCCCAUCAGAGGGGAUAACACUUGGAAACAGGUGCUAAACCGAUCUUGACGGAUGGACCCGCGGUGCAUUAGCUAGUUGGUGAGGUAACGGUUCACCAAGGCCACGAUGCAUAGCCGACCUGAGAGGGUGAUCGGCCACGCUGGGACUGUGAGACGGCCCAGACGCCUACGGGAGGCAGCGGUAGGGAAACUUCGGCAAUGGACGAAAGUCUGACCGAGCAACGCCGCGUGAGUGGCGAGGGUUUUCGGAUCGUAAAACUCUGUUGUUAGAGAAGCGGUAUCUAACCAGAAAGCCACGGCUAACUACGUGCCAGCAGCCGCGGUAAUUC
rnacentral:rRNA from 1 species